CGUCGACACAGAGCUUUGAUCCUGCUCAGGAUUAACGCUGGCGGCGUGCCUAAUGCAUGCAAGUCGAACGUGGUUCCUUCGGGAACAAACGUGGCGGACGGGUGAGGAACGCGUGGGGAACCUGCCCAGUGGUGGGGGGUAGCCGGCGGAAACGCCGGGUAAUUCCGCAUACGCUGGCCUGGGGGUAGCCCAGGUCAGGAAAGGGGCUUUCGAGCCUCGCCGCUGGAGGGGCCUGCGUCCGAUUAGCUGGUUGGUGGGGUAACGGCCUACCAAGGCGGUGAUCGGUAGCUGGUCUGAGAGGACGGCCAGCCACAGGGGGACUGAGACACGGCCCCCACUCCUACGGGAGGCAGCAGCAAGGAGUUUUCCGCAAUGGGCGCAAGCCUGACGGAGCAACGCCGCGUGGGGGAUGACACCUUUCGGGGCGUAAACCCCUUUUCUUGGGGACGAAGCAGUGACGGUACCCGAGGAAGAAGGCCCGGCUAACUACGUGCCAGCAGCCGCGGUAAUACGUAGGGGCCGAGCGUUGUCCGGAGUUACUGGGCGUAAAGCGCGCGCAGGCGGCUCGUCAAGCCUGACGUGAAAGCCCCCGGCUCAACCGGGGAGGGUCGUCGGGGACUGGCGGGCUUGAGGUCGGCAGGGGUUGGUGGAAUUCCCGGUGUAGUGGUGAAAUGCGUAGAGAUCGGGAGGAACACCCGUGGCGAAGGCGGCCAACUGGGCCGGACCUGACGCUGAGGCGCGAAGGCGUGGGGAGCGAACGGGAUUAGAUACCCCGGUAGUCCACGCAGUAAACGAUGCAGACUAGGCGUGGGGGACUUGACCCCCUCCGUGCCGCAGCUAACGCCGUGAAGUCUGCCGCCUGGGGAGUACGGCCCGCAGGCUUAAACUCAAAGGAAUUGGCGGGGGGCCGCACAAGCGGGGGAAGCGUGGGGGUUUAUUUCCACGCCAACGCGCAAAACCUUUCCCGGGGUUUUGACAUGGGCACCUGCAGAACCCCGGGAAACCGGGUUUGGGUUUUCGAAAGGUUGGGUCCCCAGGGGGGCUUGCAAGGGGUUGUGCCUCUCGGCUUUCGGG
rnacentral:rRNA from 1 species